rnacentral:tRNA from 2 species
GGAGCGGUAGUUCAGUUGGUUAGAAUACCGGCCUGUCACGCCGGGGAGGGCGCGGGUUCGAGUCCCGUCCGCUCCG